UGCUUCCAACCGGCGCGCGGCUGGAGGCUGGGAACCAGCUCCUGGGUCUUAGUCAGAGGUUCACAUCCACCAACUAUCUUCCCAGGGUUGGACUGAGAAGGGGAGCAGAGGGUCCCAGGGACUCUCCUGAGAUCCUGGCUCUCCUGCCAAGGAAUUUACAUUUCCUUGUCACAGUAGCUAUCAUUUUUGCCCUUUGUGGGAAGCACCAUGUAAGAUAUCCAACUACUCUGAAACUACCACACUGUGAAGAGUCUAACCAAGCCACCUGGAGAGACCAAACGGAAGAAAACUAAGGCCCCUGGCCAACAGCCCUAGCUGUGCUCCUACUGGCCAGUCAGCACCAGCCUGCCAGGCAUGUGACUGAGACAGUCUUGGAAGUGGAUUUUCCAGCCCUACUCAAGCUGCCGCAGCUGACACCACAUGGAACAGAGAUGAGCUUUUCUCCCCAGUGCCCAAAUAGCAGAAUUGUGGAAAAAUAAAUAAAACAGUUGUAUUAA
rnacentral:lncRNA from 1 species